AUGAAGGCUGAGGAAGAUGUCUCCACACAAAUGGUGGCUGUCCACACCUCCUCCACAGCUCCUCCACAAACAGGAGGUAUGGACAGCUGCUUUACCAGGCGGCUGCCGAAGAGGGCGGGGGUGCAGGUCCUGGAGCUGGAUGGCGGAGGCCAUUUCCUGGGCCGCCUGGCGGCCAUCGUGGCUAAACAGGUACUGCUGGGCCGGAAGGUGGUGAUCCUACCCUGCGAAGGCAUCAACAUUUCUGGCAGUUUCUACAGAAACACGUUGAAGUACCUGGCUUUCCUCCGCAAGCGGAUGAACACAACCCGUCCCCAGGCCCUACGACUUCCGGCCCCCAGCCGCAUCUUCCGGCGGACUGUGCGAGGCAAGCUGCGUCACAAGCGAGGCCAGGCUGCCCUGGGCCGCCGCAGGGUGUUUGACGGCAUUCCGCCGCCCUACGACAAGAAAAAGCGGAUGGUGGUUCCUGCUGCCCUCAAGGUCGUGCGUCUGAAGCCUACAAGAAAGUUUGCCUAUCUGGGGCGCCUGGCUUACGAGGUUGGCUGGAAGUACCAGGCAGUGACAGCCAUCCUGGAGGAGAAGAGGAAAGAGAAAGCCAAGAUCCACUACCAGAGGAAGAAACAGCUCAGGAGGCUACGGAAACAGGCUGAGAAGAACGUGGAGAAGAAAAUUGAUAAAUACACACAGGUCCUCAAGACCCACGGACUCCUGGUCUGAGCCCAAAAUAAAGACUGUUAAUUCCUCAAAA